AUUGAACGCUGGCGGCAGGCCUAACACAUGCAAGUCGAGCGUAGCGGCGGACGGGUGAGUAAUGCCUAGGAAUCUGCCUGGUAGUGGGGGAUAACGUCCGGAAACGGGCGCUAAUACCGCAUACUAUCAGAUGAGCCUAGGUCGGAUUAGCUAGUUGGUGGGGUAAAGGGCUAACAAGGCGACGAUCCGUAGCCGGUCUGAGAGGAUGAACGGCAACAAUGGGAAUGAGACACGGCCCAGGAUCCGAAGGGAGGCAGCAGGGGGGAAUCUUCCGAAAUGGAAGAAAGUCUGAAGGAGCAACGGCGGGUGAGUGAUGACGGCCUUCGGGUUGUAAAGAUCUGUUAAUCGGGACGCAGUACCGGAAUAGAAAGCCACGGCUAACUUCGUGCCAGCAGCCGCGGUAAUUC
rnacentral:rRNA from 1 species